rnacentral:rRNA from 1 species
GAUGAACGCUAGCUACAGGCUUAACACAUGCAAGUCGAGGGGCAGCAUGGUCUUAGCUUGCUAAGGCCGAUGGCGACCGGCGCACGGGUGAGUAACGCGUAUCCAACCUGCCUUACACUCUUGGACAGCCUUCUGAAAGGGAGAUUAAUACAAGAUGUUAUCAUGAGUAAGCAUUUUCGCAUGAUUAAAGGUUUACCGGUGUAAGAUGGGGAUGCGUUCCAUUAGAUAGUAGGCGGGGUAACGGCCCACCUAGUCUUCGAUGGAUAGGGGUUCUGAGAGGAAGGUCCCCCACAUUGGAACUGAGACACGGUCCAAACUCCUACGGGAGGCAGCAGUGAGGAAUAUUGGUCAAUGGACGAGAGUCUGAACCAGCCAAGUAGCGUGAAGGAUGAAUGUUCUAUGGAUUGUAAACUUCUUUUAUACGGGAAUAAACUAAUCCACGUGUGGAUUUUUGCAUGUACCGUAUGAAUAAGGAUCGGCUAACUCCGUGCCAGCAGCCGCGGUAAUACGGAGGAUCCGAGCGUUAUCCGGAUUUAUUGGGUUUAAAGGGAGCGUAGAUGGGUUGUUAAGUCAGUUGUGAAAGUUUGCGGCUCAACCGUAAAAUUGCAAUUGAUACUGGCAGUCUUGAGUACAGUUGAGGUAGGCGGAAUUCGUGGUGUAGCGGUGAAAUGCUUAGAUAUCACGAAGAACUCCGAUUGCGAAGGCAGCUUACUAACCUGUAACUGACAUUGAUGCUCGAAAGUGUGGGUAUCAUACAGGAUUAGAUACCCUGGUAGUCCACACGGUAAACGAUGAAUACUCGUUGUAGGCGAUAUACAGUCUGCGGCCAAGAGAAAGCAUUAAGUAUUCCACCUGGGGAGUACGCCGGCAACGGUGAAACUCAAAGGAAUAGACGGGGGCCCGCACAAGCGGAGGAACAUGUGGUUUAAUUCGUUGAUACGCGAGGAACCUCACCCGGGCUUAAAUUGCAACCGAAUAUGGCGGAAACGCUCUAGCUAGCACUAGCGGUUGUGAAGGUGGUGCAUGGUUGUUGUCAGCUCGUGCCGUGAGGUGUUGGCUUAAGUGCCAUAACGAGGGCAACCCUUGCCGAUAGUUACUAACCGGUUUUGGUGAGGACUUUGUCCGGACUGCCAUUGUAAGAUGUGAGGAAGGUGGGGAUGACGUCAAAUCAGCCCGGCCCUUACGUCCGGGGGUACACACGUGUUACAAUGGGGGGGUACAGAGGGCUGCUACCACGCAAGUGGAUGCCAAUCCCAAAAACCUCUCUCAGUUCGGAUUGAAGUCUGCAACCCGACUUCAUGAAGCUGGAUUCGCUAGUAAUCGCGCAUCAGCCACGGCGCGGUGAAUACGUUCCCGGGCCU